rnacentral:rRNA from 1 species
AUUGAACGCUGGCGGCAGGCCUAACACAUGCAAGUCGAGCGGAUGAGUGGAGCUUGCUCCAUGAUUCAGCGGCGGACGGGUGAGUAAUGCCUAGGAAUCUGCCUGGUAGUGGGGGACAACGUUUCGAAAGGAACGCUAAUACCGCAUACGUCCUACGGGAGAAAGCAGGGGACCUUCGGGCCUUGCGCUAUCAGAUGAGCCUAGGUCGGAUUAGCUAGUAGGUGAGGUAAUGGCUAACCUAGGCGACGAUCCGUAACUGGUCUGAGAGGAUGAUCAGUCACACUGGAACUCAGACACGGUCCAGGCUCCUACGGGAGGCAGCAGUGGGGAAUAUUGGACAAUGGGCGAAAGCCUGAUCCAGCCAUGCCGAGUGUGUGAAGAAGGUCUUCGGAUUGUAAAGCACUUUAAGUUAGGAGGAAGGGCAGUAAGUUAAUACCUUGCUGUUUUGACGUUACCAACAGAAUAAGCACCGGCUAACUUCGUGCCAGCCGCCGCCGUAACAC